UAGAUGGAAGUUCGUCGGAUAGAACACUUAGCUGUUAAUUAAGUAUUUGUAGGAUCAAGGCCUGCCUAUCUAG
rnacentral:tRNA from 3 species